AAUACUAGGGGAGCCAUUUGGCUGAGAGGAUGAACAUCCGACCCUUUGAACCUGAUCUGGGUAAUGCCGGCGGAGGGAAGUAUUUU
rnacentral:ncRNA from 1 species